rnacentral:rRNA from 1 species
UUCUCCCAAAUUUGGAAGGCCCGUAUUCCCCCUAAGAUUAAAAUUUUCUUGUGGCAAGCUUUCCGAGGCCGGUUGCCCUCGGCUGGUCAAAUUCGUAAGAGAAAUGGACCGGGCUCCCAGUUUUGUGCCCUUUGCGGUGAUGUGGAAGACAUGGAACAUAUUUUUUUUCACUGUCACCUGGCUAAGCUCAUUUGGAGUUGCGUGCGGGACUGGCUACGUGUUUCUUGGGCCCCUGCCUCCUUUGCCGAGUUGCGCAACUUGGCAUCCAACCUUUCCGGUGUAUCCAGGCGCAUCUUUUGGGUGGGCUUGGGAGCUUUAUGCUGGUCCCUGUGGACGACUAGGAACAAAUUUACUAUCGAGCACGUGUUCCCGGCUAAACCGGCUGACUGCUUAUUUAAAUCGUGUGCUUUCCUGCAGCAGUGGAAAUCAUUGACUAAGGUCGACGACCAAGAGGCGCUCUCUAUGCUGAUCUACAAAAUCCGGGCGACGGCGUCUCAGUUAUGCAGACAAGAGCAGGAUGCUUAA